rnacentral:sRNA from 1 species
CCUAGAUUUAGGAAUGAAUUGCUACCUAAAUUUUGUGGAUUCGUCUCCUAAAUUCACUCUGUCAUCGCCUCUCUUAACCCCAGAAUCCAGGAGUCUAACUCCCACCUCUUUGGACCGUGCUUUUCCGGCGCUCUGACUUUCCUCAUUUCUGGGUGGGCAGAGCGUGACAGAGAAGAAGAGGAGGUGGAAAGAACCUGGGUGCCGCCCCCCCACCUCAUCCCCCGCCCCGCUCCUGAGCGGCGGAGACUGCGAUCCUCAAUCCUACCACACGGGGGCGCCAGAACAAGCGCGGACGCGGGCGAGGCAGCGCAAGGUGGUUCUCGUCCGUUUCACAGUAGGGACCCCAGUCUCCUUAUACAAUCCCCUCUCAUUGCGUCUUUGCACCCCUCCCCAUGGCUGACGGAAUAAAUGGCUGCAGAGACCUCCUAAAGCCCUUCCAUAGCCCUCAUCCCUGGUUUUCCAAGCCUUGAACUCCGCAAUCAUUGUUCUGCCGAACUUCACUCUCCAUCUACUCCUGGAAUGCAUGAGAGCUUCAGAUACCCGGACCAAGAGCUGAUGGGGUUUCUUCUGGGAAAGUCAAGCCACUGAUGGAAGGGAGAAGCCACUGCUGGUUCUAGAGAGAAAGCACGACCCUUUCCAAGGUGAUUACCCAAACCGCAAGAUCCACCCAUCUGCGCUGACCCUGGGCGGGCAUCCCACACCGCAGAUCCACCCCCUCUUCCUCUCAGGUUCAAGUCGUCCUUGGGCGUGCUCCCUAUAGACCAUACUGUGGCGGAGUAGGGAGGCAGGCCCCUUCCCCGGCUUUCAAUCCCUUACCGUCCCCCCAUCCAGUACUGAUCUUUUACUGGCGCCCAAUUAGAUGCUGGCGGUGCCCUCUUCCUAUUCUGCUCAGCAACGCGGGCUCCGCGCCUCAAGAGCUUUGUAACCCACCCUCCCGCCUUCUGGCUCCUCUGUACCCACCCUUCCAUUCAUUUUUCCAUUCAUUCAUUCAUCCUUUUCUCCUCGUCCCUCCUUCAUUCAUUCAUAGCCCCCUGCCCCGCCCGCCUAGACAUUUCAUUC